rnacentral:rRNA from 1 species
UGGGGAAUAUUGGACAAUGGGCGAAAGCCUGAUCCAGCCAUGCCGCGUGUGUGAAGAAGGCCUUCGGGUUGUAAAGCACUUUAAGCGAGGAGGAAUGGCUCUGGGUUAAUACCCUUGAGCAGUGACGUUACUCGCAGAAUAAGCACCGGCUAACUCUGUGCCAGCAGCCGCGGUAAUACAGAGGGUGCAAGCGUUAAUCGGAAUUACUGGGCGUAAAGCGCGCGUAGGCGGUUACGUAAGUUGGAUGUGAAAUCCCCGGGCUCAACCUGGGAAUUGCAUUCAAAACUGCGUGGCUAGAGUGUGGGAGAGGAAGGUAGAAUUCCAGGUGUAGCGGUGAAAUGCGUAGAUAUCUGGAGGAAUACCGAUGGCGAAGGCAGCCUUCUGGCCUAACACUGACGCUGAGGUGCGAAAGCAUGGGGAGCAAACAGG